GACGAAGGGGGCUAGCGUUGUUCGGAAUUACUGGGCGUAAAGCGCGCGUAGGCGGCUCUUCAAGUCAGGCGUGAAAGCCCCGGGCUUAACCCGGGAAUAGCGCUUGAUACUGUUGGGCUUGAGUCCGGGAGAGGAUAGUGGAAUUCCCAGUGUAGAGGUGAAAUUCGUAGAUAUUAGGAAGAACACCAGUGGCGAAGGCGGCUCACUGGUCCGGUACUGACGCUGAGGUGCGAAAGCGUGGGGAGCAAACAGG
rnacentral:rRNA from 1 species